UUUGGUGUGUUAUAAUGAAUCUUGCAAACGAGUUUAUGGUGGUGCGCCAGCCUGCUUCAUCGGUUCUUCCGAUAGAAAGNCGUUACCCGGAAAGGAUAAGCAUGUGACUGUUUUUGAAACACUGACAUUGAUGAUUGCUUUUGCAAUGUUAAUUGUCAGCAUCCUUAACAGUAA
rnacentral:sRNA from 1 species